GAUAACUUCACCGGUCUCCGGCUUGCUCUUUGUGACGCUCAAGGUGAUUUUCCCUGAUGAAGAUGCAGCACUCUUGUUGUUCUCCUUGGCUAGCUCUUCCUCAUCCCCUCUUCCUCCAGCAGGCAAGGCCACUGCAUUAUCGUAACCGGUUGAGCCACCCCUUCCCUUUGGGUCCAAGAAAGAUGAGCCACGGUAGGAUGGUACAAGGAAGUCUCCUCCAAAGCUAUCAGGUUUGCCUGAUGCAACCAAUUGCUUGAUGGUGAACAGGAAAGGCACACGCUCACCACCAGGAAGCUGAACUGUGACGGCAGCAUAAUCAAUCCCAUCUUUCUCCUCGAAUUUGAGGGUGCCAUCGGUAGAUACCUCGAAAGGGCCCUCGAUUUCGUCAAGGGUGUAGGUUAAACGGGUCAUGAGCUUGGUGUUUUGGAACUCAGGAGGGGCAUUCUUGUUAACCCCCUCAGCCUUGACAGUGAAGGAAGUGGGCUCCAAGCAGAACUUCUUGGCGUAGUAUUUGCCAGGCUUGAAGGCAAAAGAGUCGACACCACCAUCGAUGGUUGGGCACUGGUUAGCAGUUCCUGUUCCUUUGACUUCCAUGUAUGUCUUGCUUUGGAUUUCAGCGUAGGUUAGCCGCUUUGGAACUCCUUCAGCGCUUGCUCCCUUCAAAACAAACCAGUCAUUGUAACAUAUUUGUUCAGAUCACGGAUCGUAUAUGAUCCUUAUGUAUGCAAUCAACGAUACUUGGCUCAAAUGAAAAAUCCAAAUGACAAAGUUACAACACCAUGCAAGCUCAUUAAGAAUCCUACCUAAGCUACAUAAAAAUAAAUACAGAAAUUUGAAGCAAGUGAGAGGCGAGAAGUACAUACCGAGACAACAAGAGCAGAUGUAGCAAGAGCGAAACCAGCGAGCUUGGUAGCAUCAACACACUUCAGAGCCAAGUCCUUGAGGUCAGUUUGCAAAGAGCAGGUAAGCCUAGCACCAACAGGCUCCAAACCGAAGGCCUUAGAAACGCUCUGGGAGGACCUGAGCGGCACAUUGGUCCUUGAUGGUGCAGCAACCUUGAUUGGUUGCAUCAGGGUAGCUGGAGCUUGAAGUGAGACCGCCAUUGUUACGAAC
rnacentral:lncRNA from 1 species